UGGGGAAUAUUGGACAAUGGGCGAAAGCCUGAUCCAGCCAUGCCGCGUGUGUGAAGAAGGUCUUCGGAUUGUAAAGCACUUUAAGUUGGGAGGAAGGGCAUUAACCUAAUACGUUAGUGUUUUGACGUUACCGACAGAAUAAGCACCGGCUAACUCUGUGCCAGCAGCCGCGGUAAUACAGAGGGUGCAAGCGUUAAUCGGAAUUACUGGGCGUAAAGCGCGCGUAGGUGGGUUGUUAAGUUGGAUGUGAAAGCCCCGGGCUCAACCUGGGAACUGCAUCCAAAACUGGCAAGCUAGAGUACGGUAGAGGGUGGUGGAAUUUCCUGUGUAGCGGUGAAAUGCGUAGAUAUAGGAAGGAACACCAGUGACGAAGGCGACCACCUGGACUGAUACUGACACUGAGGUGCGAAAGCGUGGGGAGCAAACA
rnacentral:rRNA from 1 species